UACGUAGGAGGCAAGCGUUGUCCGGAUUUACUGGGCGUAAAGCGCGCGCAGGCGGCAGUGUAAGUAAGGUGUGAAAUCUCCCUGCUCAACGGGGAGGGUGCACUUUAGACUACACAGCUAGAGGUCGGUAGAGGGGGGUGGAAUUGCUGGUGUAGCGGUGAAAUGCGUAGAGAUCAGCAGGAACACCCGUGGCGAAGGCGGCCCCCUGGGCCGUACCUGACGCUGAGGCGCGAAGGCUAGGGGAG
rnacentral:rRNA from 1 species